CAAUACGAGGAAAGAACCAACAGGGAUUCCCCUAGUAACGGCGAGUGAAGCGGGAACAGCUCAAAUUUGAAAUCUGGCCCUCGGGUCCGAGUUGUAAUUUGCAGAGGAUGCUUUUGGUGCGGUGCCUUCCGAGUUCCCUGGAACGGGACGCCUUAGAGGGUGAGAGCCCCGUACGGUUGGCCACCAAGCCUGUGUAAAGCUCCUUCGACGAGUCGAGUAGUUUGGGAAUGCUGCUCAAAAUGGGAGGUAUAUUUCUUCUAAAGCUAAAUACUGGCCAGAGACCGAUAGCGCACAAGUAGAGUGAUCGAAAGAUGAAAAGCACUUUGAAAAGAGGGUUAAAUAGCACGUGAAAUUGUUGAAAGGGAAGGAUUUAUGACCAGACUUUUUCUAGGGGGAUCAUCUGGUGUUCUCACCGGUGCACUUCCCCUAGUGGAGGCCAGCAUCGGUUUCUGCCGGGGGAUAAAAGCUUCGGGAAUGUGGCUCCUUCGGGAGUGUUAUAGCCCGUUGCAUAAUACCCUGGCGGGGACCGAGGUUCGCGCAUCUGCAAGGAUGCUGGCGUAAUGGUUAUUAAUCACCCGUCUUGAAACACGGACCAAGGAGUCGAACAUUUGUGCGAGUGUUUGGGUGUUAAACCCUCACGCGUAAUGAAAGUGAACGGAGGUGAGAGCCCCUCGGGGUGCAUCAUCGACCGAUCCUGAUGUCUUCGGAUGGAUUUGAGUAAGAGCAUAACUGUUCGGACCCGAAAGAUGGUGAACUAUGCGUGGAUAGGGUGAAGCCAGAGGAAACUCUGGUGGAGGCUCGCAGCGGUUCUGACGUGCAAAUCGAUCGUCAAAUCUGCGCAUGGGGGCGAAAGACUAAUCGAACCUCUAUAGUGUCG
rnacentral:rRNA from 1 species